AGAACUCUUUGCUUUAAACGUCUUGCCAACAACUGUGUACACCAGAUUUGUAUAAUAUUAUAUAUUAUGGACUGAUAUGUCGCUUGUUUAAUUAAUUACGGAAUUACCAGUAUAUUAUAAUAGAGCACAUAUAACACGUCGGGUGUACCGUAAAGCUGUCCCGGCGCUAAUUCCAAAUUUCCUUGACACCAUACCCACACCUCUGGACGAAAAAAAAAGAACCUCUGGACAUUCGCAGUUCGUCUUGCUUAUGCCGUCGCAUGAUGCAGGCUAGCUCGUGUGGCGCCGCAUUUGGAAUUAAACUUUUUUGGCUGAUUCAUCGGGUUGGUUUUACUUGUUCUGGCCUUUACCCGACACGCAUCGAUUACACAGAAGAUUUUGACCACCCAUAUGCGAUUCGCGCCGCAUUCCGCCAGCAGAAUACAGGGCGCCUGCUUCCUCCAGAUGCUUAGUUUUGUGCCUUUCUCCACGCAAUGACAGGUCCUGAAGAGCAUGUAGCACACUUUGGCCAACACUUGUCGUUGCCGGGUGGGCAGCGGAUUCCUCUAAGGAACCAAUUUUGUGAUACGCCGGUCUUGGAGGUUGACAAUUGCAGUCGUCGUCGACCAUCCCAUUCUGCGGAUACGAUGUACCGGAGGUCCGGAAGUGAUCCCAACUGAUGAUCAGUCAGGAUUACUUUCCAUUACGUCGUACUUGCACGCUCCUUGCUCCCAACAUAUACCUGUACCGAAAGUGCAAUUCGAAAGAAUCAAACAACACUUCAGCACAAUGCUUAUAACUACAGAUUAUUUUAUGCAAAAUUCCAUCAGGAUUACUUAACUGAAGAACAGUCAGCUGCAGCCGUCCCCGGCCAUGCUUCCAGUCGGCAGAUGUCAUGCGACCCGGAAACGAUCCCGUUGGGUGAUCAGUUGACGUUGGUCCCCGCCGUCGACUGAUUUUUAUGUCCGAACGGAAACCAAUGGC